rnacentral:rRNA from 1 species
AGUGAACGCUGGCGGUAGGCCUAACACAUGCAAGUCGAACGGCAGCACAGUAAGAGCUUGCUCUUACGGGUGGCGCGUGGCGGACGGGUGAGGAAUACAUCGGAAUCUACUUUUUCGUGGGGGAUAACGUAGGGAAACUUACGCUAAUACCGCAUACGACCUACGGGUGAAAGCAGUGGAUCUUCGGACCUUGCGCGAUUGAAUGAGCCGAUGUCGGAUUAGCUAGUUGGCGGGGUAAAGGCCCACCAAGGCGACGAUCCGUAGCUGGUCUGAGAGGAUGAUCAGCCACACUGGAACUGAGACACGGUCCAGACUCCUACGGGAGGCAGCAGUGGGGAAUAUUGGACAAUGGGCGCAAGCCUGAUCCAGCCAUACCGCGUGGGUGAAGAAGGCCUUCGGGUAGUAAAGCCCUUUUGUUAGGAAAGAAAAACAGCAGGUUAAUACCCCGCUGUUCUGACGGUACCCAAAGAAUAAGCACCGGCUAACUUCGUG